rnacentral:rRNA from 1 species
CUACGGGCUGCACCAGUAGGGAAUCUUAGACAAUGGGGGAAACCCUGAUCUAGCCAUGCCGCGUGAGUGAUGAAGGCCUUAGGGUUGUAAAGCUCUUUCGCUGGGGAAGAUAAUGACGGUACCCAGUAAAGAAACCCCGGCUAGACUCCGUGCCAGCAGCCGCGGUAAUACGGAGGGGGUUAGCGUUGUUCGGAAUUACUGGGCGUAAAGCGCGCGUAGGCGGGCUAUUAAGUCAGGGGUGAAAUCCCGGGGCUCAACCCCGGAACUGCCUUUGAUACUGGUAGUCUUGAGUUCGAGAGAGGUGAGUGGAAUUCCGGGUGUAGAGGUGAAAUUCGUAGAUAUUCGGAGGAACAUCAGUGGCGAAGGCGACUCACUGGCUCGAUACUGACGCUGAGGUGCGAAAGUGUGGGGAGCAAACAGGAUUAGAUACCCCCGUAGUC